rnacentral:tRNA from 1 species
GCUUUUGUAGUUAACUGGAUAACACAUCCUACUGGCAAUCGGGAGGUCCGGUGUUCGAAUCCCGGUGGAAGCC